rnacentral:rRNA from 1 species
UACGUAGGGAGCAAGCGUUGUCCGGAAUCAUUGGGGCGUAAAGCGCGCGUAGGUGGCCUCAUAAGUCCGCUGUGAAAGUCAAAGGCUCAACCUUUGAAAGCCGGUGGAUACUGUGAGGCUAGAGUACGGAAGAGGCGAGUGGAAUUCCUGGUGUAGCGGUGGAAUGCGCAGAUACUCAGGAGGAACACCAAUAGCGAAGGCAGCUCGCUGGGACGUUACUGACACUGAGGCGCGAAAGCGUGGGGAGCGAACAGG